GGCUGGAAUAGCUCAGUCGGUAGAGCACUUCACUCGUAAUGAAGGGGUCGUGAGUUCGAGUCUCAUUUCCAGCUU
rnacentral:tRNA from 2 species